GGUAAUGGCUGAAGUAGCCUGCUUGGGCGUUGAUGCUCUGUCUUGACUUGCUGACCUACCUAACACUUGAAAAAAAAGUCGACCACCUCUCUUUUCAUCCCGUUCCACCAAAAUCAGGGUCGCAUACUUUGAGAUAUCUUAGUGCUUCCGGGAUGCAUGACAAACUUUGAGUUAUGAGCUCUAUCAUGAUGUUUCUUUUUAGCUUACUAUCAUAUAGAACACACACUCUGUCCUGAAAUCUAAGCAACUCAUCGACAGAGACUCAAAAUUCUAAAUUUUCUCCUUGUUCUGCAUCUUUCUUGAGGACUGCUAGGGUGGAAUCGGCAGAUUAAGCUUACUUUAUUCUCUGGAUCAAGUCAGGUUGAAUAGUCAAGUGGGUUAAACAUGUAACUCUCUUCAGGUCCUGAAAUCAUACCUAUUGUGCGACCCUUAUUACCAUGCAUUUU
rnacentral:lncRNA from 1 species